CUCAUAGUGUGUACAGUAGGAGGUGAUCAUGACCUCAUAGUGUGUACAGUAGGAGGUGAUCAUGACCUCAUAGUGUGUACAGUAGGAGGUGAUAUGAACUCAUAGUGUGUACAGUAGGAGGUGAUAAUGACCUCGUAGUGUGUACAGUAGGAGGUGAUCAUGACCUCGUAGUGUGUACUGUAGGCCAGAGGAAGGAGAAGGAGGUGUUGGUCAAUGGGUCAGUCAGGUGGUUGUUUGAAGGGCUGAGUGGGAUCAGUUCCAUGAGAGGAGUGAGUAGGUGAUGAGUGUGGUGGAUCAGUAGAAUGACUGGGUGAGAGCAGCGUUAGUGGGAGCAGCUACUGAGGCUAGACCUGAGAGUUCAGGGAGCAAGAGGAGGAAGGAGGUUCCAUGGUGGACGGAGGAGUGAGGAGGAGCAGUGAAGAGUAGGAGUCAGACUCCUCAGUGCUGCUCCAUAUUCAGGGUAUUAAAAGGACUCAUCAUUUCCAACAUGAUCCAGUAUAAAGAGGCUCAGGCUGUGGUGAGGAGAUACACGUCCAGUUAACAGGGUGUGUCCACGCCGGUUCUGUGAUACCGUGAACAAUGACACCUAUGGGAGAAGUCUGGGGGAUGAUUUAGAGGAUGAGCAGAGUCAGAAUGCAGUGGGAUCAUCCGGCAUAAACGAUUAGAGGUCAGUUACAGAUGAGGAGAAGGCUGAGAUGUAAUCUGUUCAGGGUCAUAGUUCAGUCAACCUGUCAGAGGAGGAGCAGAGUUGGGGAGAAGACCUAGAGGAGAGCAGCUUGGAGUACUGGACAGGAGGGAGGAGGUGAAUGAUUCACUGAAUGAUCCGUUUACCAUGACGGAGGGGGUCAUAGGUCAGGCUGGGAGAGAUGAGGUGUGUUAUGUCAUGUUGGUCCGUCUCAGUGAUGAGGUUCUGGACAAGGUACUGGACCUGUUCAACAGAGUGAGAGGAGGGGAAACUACCAGGCAUCUGGGAGGAGGUGGUAGUGGUACCAACCAGGAAGACGGGGCAGAACCCAACCAGACCAACUAGUCAAGGGCGUAGGAGUGACUCUGAUAUGGGGGGGACACAUUUGACUACAGUGCGAAUGUUAAUAUAUUCACCAAAAUGUCUAUUUAAUAUGUUAGUUCUACAUGUUUUUCCACUUCUAGAAUCCACUUCUAGUUCGAUUCUCUUUGUCCAUGACUACGUUAAAUAUAGACAUGCUCUGGUUAAAAGAUACUGGGGAUGAUAAUUGUUUCAACAACAAUGGCUUGCAAUACUCAUUAUGUCUGGAUGAGUGUAUCAAGUAGAUAGUUACCCCAAAUAAUGUCGUCUUUCUGAACCGAGACCUUCCAGGUGUUGAAAGGACUCAAGCAUUCAGUAUGGAAAUUCCAGUUUGACUUUAAGAAAGUAGUGAUUUCUGAACAUGCCAUAGUCCUAACUAGCACUGGUAAAUGAUACUGUCAUUUCAGAUAGAUGAUAAUGUAACCAGAGUGCAUCUUGUUAAAUAAAUAAUACUACAGUGAUGUUGGUAACAUCUCAGUCAGGCGUGUUAGUCCAGCUUUAAGUAUUCCAAUCUGCUCCUAUAGACCACCUUGAAUUAAUACUUCUCACCAUCUUACCUGUUGGUUUGAGGCCUCUCUCUCUCCCAUGCUCUGGCUACCUUUCUGACCAGUGUUAUUGGUAUGACAGCCUCCCUUCUGCAUAAAGUAAACACAUACAGUACAAUCCUAAAUUCAGCUGCUGUCCUUUUAUCUGAGAUCCUAUUCAAUGACUGAUUUACAUGAAUACUGAUCAACAGUCUGUCUUGGCGUGGCACUUAUCAAUGAUUUACCUGUUGGUUUGAGCCGGUUUGUUCAUGUCUGUCACUUCCCUGCCAUGAUAAUACAUAGCAUAAACCAAAUUCUUUAAAUAUUUAACAGACUUAAGUUAUAUCUACAUGAUUAUAAACAUCUAAACUGAAGAAAAAAAAUUGCCAGCUGUUGUGUGGAAAUUGUUACCAAGAAACUAAGAUACUCUCGAUUCUUGACUGGUGGUGGCACGACCAUUACUUAGCUAGCUACUUGUAGACCUCAUGGUGAUUGAGAUUGCGCAAAUAAUUUUAGCAGGCGUUCUUCCUUUCAAAUCAUUCACUCCUUUUCACACAGCCAUAGGACCUACUCUGUUAUCUAGCAAGCAAGCUAAUAGUACUGUAACGUUUGUUGGAUUAAACAUGAAAAUUAAGACAGCUAGCUAACUACGCCUUAAAUAUGUUUUUAGCCAGAAGAAAGCUUAUAUUUUAUCACGUUUGUUCAUUCUAUAGCUAUGAAAAUAUACGGACGUUUAUACAGGUUGUAGUUACUGUGAAAACAAAACUUACAGCUACAGUAAUCCACUUUGCUACAACAACUUAGACAGAAAAUAUUAUUAUCCUCCUGGACAAAAUUAUUACCAACUCACAUUCCCUUUCUUUCUUUUCUUCCCCAUGAGAAAGAAAUCUCUUAAAUUGAGCUGCUGCUGUCUUUUCAUCUUUACCUCUGACCAGUCGCCGGUCAACAGCUACAGACUCCCGCUUCCCAAGCACUCUGAGCCUGAGUCGUUGAGAGGCGGGCCGGAGGCAAGACGCUGUGUUGCGCUUUCAAAAUAAAAGCAAGCGAGUUACAGAUUUCAAAAUAAAAUAUUGUUCUCCUCCGCGGUAUAAUGUUUGGGUGGGACAAUUGCGACUGUCUCCAAUAUUGGAGGGGACACGUCCCCCCCGGUUCCUACGCUCUUGCAACUAGUUAUAGACCAAUAAAAAUGACACAACAUGUAUGGAAGAUUAUGGAGUGAAUGAUGCCUGAGAGACUAACUUAUUUAAUGGUAAAUAGGGUCUGGAACCACUUUAUCUGGAAGUGGAGGGGGACUAUGGACCCAGUGAUCUGAUUAGAAUUGAGGUUAGGAAGACAGAUGAACAAGGAGACAUUGUCUUUGAUGUAGAGAAGACGUGAUAUGUUGGAUAUAGAGGUUAAUAAUCACACCUGAGGGGUUCGGAGGUAGAGGUACAACUGGAAGGUCUGUUCAGGGUGGAGACAUCUGGGUCGUGUUGCUACAUGGUGGAGAGCAGAACCCUGCAUGGGAGCGUGGUUAGCCUGGUGCUGUUCUUCAUCAUCAUCUAUGAUGUUUACUGUCAGGUACAACCAGAUAUCGGCAGGUCGUUAUUUUGCAGAUGAUGCAGCCUGAAGGAAGAGAGGAAGAAACAUACAACAUGUAGUCAAGUCAGGAAGGUACCGGAAGCUGUUGAAGACAUGGAGCAGUGGGCAGUGAUGUGGAGGUUCAGGUUCUCUGUAGAGGAAACUCUGUCAGUGUUUUUCACCAGGUGGAGGUGAGAUAUGAUGGAUGUUGUAUAGGAGAGACUUAGAGAGGGUGGAGGUGAGAUAUGACUGAUGAUGUAUAGGAG
ensembl:lncRNA